rnacentral:lncRNA from 13 species
AUGUGUGAAAUAUCUACAAUGAAAAACGUCAGUAGAACAUUCCCAAACAGAUACAUUUUAACCUCAGCAACCAUCAGCAACAGGAUAAAAAGUGAUUUAAAAAGAGAAAGGUUUUCGCAAUAUUUAUGCUGCUGUAUCUUCCCCGAAGGAGCUUUUAUUUUACCAUUCAAACGGAAGUUUGUUUUCAAACCAGUCGCUAAAGGAGCAGCGGCAAGAAUCAGCUCUAAGCCAACAGCAAGCGCGCGGGCAAAAGUGGCCGGUUCCCGCAGCCGCCGCGUGGGUCGGCCGCCCGCAGAAGCGCCGUCUUACCUUGAGCGCGCAGGACUGGGAGAGGCUCACGGGCUCCCACGGAGAGGGCCGGGAAGGCUGCGUGCGAUCCGCCGCAGGCGACACGCGCUCGGCUUUUAUGGGCAGGUGGGAGGAGCCGCCCCUCAUGGUGGGAGAUGUUUUCCUAAUGGCUAAAGGAAAAGUUUUGGCUCCUGGUUUGGAAGUGGACACACACCACCCUAAUUAAUUAUGUUUAAAGAAUGUGAAGAGAAAUUGGAUUGGCUUUGCUUUCUUCUUGGGGAAGAAAUUGAAAGUGCUCAGUAGCUGAAACAAUAGAUGCCAGGAAUUAGAAGAGAAGAAUAAUAAAGCUUAACUCUGAGAGCUCUGAAUAGGGUUG